rnacentral:rRNA from 1 species
UACAGAGGUCUCAAGCGUUGUUCGGAUUCAUUGGGCGUAAAGGGUGCGUAGGCGGCGCGGUAAGUCGGGGUGUGAAAUCUCGGAGCUUAACUCCGAAACUGCAUUCGAUACUGCCGUGCUUUGAGGACUGGAGAGGAGACUGGAAUUUUACGGUGUAGCGGUGAAAAUGCGUAGAUAUCGUAAGGAAGACCAGUGGCGAAGGCGGGGUCUCUGGA